rnacentral:tRNA from 1 species
GCACUGAUGGUCCAAUGGCAGAAUUCUUGCCUUCUGUGCGGGAGACCUGGGUUCGAUCCCUGGCCAAUGCA